rnacentral:rRNA from 1 species
UACGAAGGGGGGCUAGCGUUGCUCGGAAUGACUGGGCGUAAAGGGUGCGUAGGCGGUCUGAUAAGUCAUCUGUGAAAUCUAUGGGGCUCAACCCCAUAGUCUGCAGGCGAAAACUGUCGGGGCUUUGAGUAUGGGAGAGGUGAGUGGAAUUUCCGGUGUAGCGGUGAAAAUGCGUAGAUAUCGGAAGGAACACCUGUGGCGAAAAGCGGCUCACUGGACCAUUCUG